UAGAUACCCUGGUAGUCCACGCCGUAAACGAUGAUAACUAGCUGUCAGGGCACAUGGUGUUUUGGUGGCGCAGCUAACGCAUUAAGUUAUCCGCCUGGGGAGUACGGUCGCAAGAUUAAAACUCAAAGGAAUUGACGGGGGCCUGCACAAGCGGUGGAGCAUGUGGUUUAAUUCGAAGCAACGCGCAGAACCUUACCAACGUUUGACAUCCCUAUCGCGGAUCGUGGAGACACUUUCCUUCAGUUCGGCU
rnacentral:rRNA from 1 species